UCAAACUUGGUCAUUUAGAGGAAGUAAAAGUCGUAACAAGGUCUCCGUUGGUGAACCAGCGGAGGGAUCAUUACCGAGUUUACAACUCCCAAACCCGUGUGAACCCGUACCUCCAGUUGCUUCGGCGGGACCGCCCCGGGGCGCCCAGCGCGCCCCGGACACAGGCGCCCGCCGGGGGACCGUAACUCCUGUAUCUCUGCAGCGGUAUCGUCUGAGUGGAUUAUCCAAUAAUCAAAACUUUCAACAACGGAUCUCUUGGUUCUGGCAUCGAUGAAGAACGCAGC
rnacentral:misc_RNA from 1 species